GCUCCGGUAGCCUAGUGGUUAGAGCGUCCGCCUCGGAUGCGGGAGGUUGCAGGUUCGAUUCCAGACCGAGUCA